rnacentral:rRNA from 1 species
AUUGAACGCUGGCGGCAGGCCUAACACAUGCAAGUCGAACGGUAACAGGAAGAAGCUUGCUUCUUUGCUGACGAGUGGCGGACGGGUGAGUAAUGUCUGGGAAACUGCCUGAUGGAGGGGGAUAACUACUGGAAACGGUAGCUAAUACCGCAUAACGUCGCAAGACCAAAGAGGGGGACCUUCGGGCCUCUUGCCAUCGGAUGUGCCCAGAUGGGAUUAGAUAGUAGGUGGGGUAACGGCUCACCUAGGCGACGAUCCCUAGCUGGUCUGAGAGGAUGACCAGCCACACUGGAACUGAGACACGGUCCAGACUCCUGCGGGAGGCAGCAGUGGGGAAUAUUGCACAAUGGGCGCAAGCCUGAUGCAGCCAUGCCGCGUGUAUGAAGAAGGCCUUCGGGUUGUAAAGUACUUUCAGCGGGGAGGAAGGGAGUAAAGUUAAUACCUUGGCUCAUUGACGUUACCCGCAGAAGAAGCACCGGCUAACUCCGUG